rnacentral:rRNA from 1 species
CGGGGGGGGCAAGCGUUGUUCGGAAUUACUGGGCGUAAAGGGCCAGUAGGCGGCCAACUAAGUCGGAUGUGAAAUCCCCAGGCUCAACCUGGGAACUGCAUCCGAUACUGGAUGGCUUGAAUUCGGGAGAGGGAUGCAGAAUUCCAGGUGUAGCGGUGAAAUGCGUAGAUAUCUGGAGGAAUGCCGGUGGCGAAGGCGGCAUCCUGGACCGACAUUGACGCUGAACGGCGAAAGCUAGGGGAGCAAACGGGAUUAGAUACCCCGGUAGUCCUAGCCCUAAACGAUGAAUGCUUGGUGUAACGGGUAUCGAUCCCUGUUGUGCCGAAGCUAACGCAUUAAGCAUUCCGCCUGGGGAGUACGGUCGCAAGGCUG